rnacentral:rRNA from 1 species
UACAGAGGGGGCAAGCGUUAUUCGGAAUUACUGGGCGUAAAGCGUGCGCAGGCGGUUGUGCAAGACAGAUGUGAAAUCCCCGGGCUUAACCUGGGAACUGCAUUUGUGACUGCACAGCUGGAGUGCGGCAGAGGGGGAUGGAAUUCCGCGUGUAGCAGUGAAAUGCGUAGAUAUGCGGAGGAACACCGAUGGCGAAGGCAAUCCCCUGGGCCUGCACUGACGCUCAUGCACGAAAGCGUGGGGAGCAAACAGG